AUGGCUCAGAACGAACGCUGGUGGCGUGUCUUAUACAUGCAAGUCGAGCGAGGCAGCAAUGCCGAGCGGCGAACGGGUGAGUAACGCGUAAGCAAUCUGCCCCAUAUCAGGAAAUACCCGUGCCAACGCGCGGUUAAUGUCCAGGAGAGUGGCCUUCCGCAUGGAAGGUUGACUAGAGAUUUAUCGGUAUGGGAUGAGCUUGCGUCCGAUUAGCUAGUUGGCGGGGCAACGGCCCACCAAGGCGACGAUCGGUAGCCGGCCUGAGAGGGUGAUCGGCCACAUUGGGACUGAGAUACGGCCCAGACUCCUACGGGAGGCAGCAGUAGGGAAUAUUGCACAAUGGGGGAAACCCUGAUGCAGCAACGCCACGUGUGGGAAGAAGCAUUUCGGUGUGUAAACCACUGUCAUGAGGGAAUAAGGCCCGCCUUCGGACGGGAUUGAAUGUACCUUGAGAGGAAGCACCGGCAAACUUCGUGCCAGCAGCCGC
rnacentral:rRNA from 1 species